CUCUUCUUCGCUUUAUUGAUGACAACAAACAGAGUCAGAGAGAGACACUCUUCUUCACCACCUGAAAGAGAAAAAAAAAAAAAGAAAAGAGAGAGAAGAGGGUUCGUUCUAAUGUCGACGAGGAACCUGAAGCAGAUUGCUUCAGGUAGAGAGCGUUGGUUGUUACGGCGACUAGGGUAAACACGCCUGAAGGAAUAAGAAGAUAUAGCAAGAGAGAGUUGUUACGGCGACUAACUAGGGUUAACAUGUAUUGAACAAAUCAGAGUCUGAUGAUUCUACUGAUGGAUGCUGGUCUUUUUGACAAUCCCCUGACUCAUUCAACACGAUGUUCCUUGUCUUCGUCCGCUUCAAGUUCCCCUCCACAGACAACCUCACAACAGAUAUGAGAGAGGUGAUGAUGCACACUAUAUGACACAGCAACAACAACGAUGGAAUAUGUGGAAUUAUGAUGCAGCUUGUGUGGUAAAGUUAUAGCAGAACCGUGGACAACACGCUUAUUAUGCCCUGCCCUGUGGCUCAUCCCCAAACCAGUUGGAGAUGUUACAUGUCCUCCUAAAGAAAUCUCCCUGGAAAUAUGAUUCUACUGAUGGUCUUUGAUAGUCUCAACUCCAUACGGCUUCCUUCUCCACAGAAUUGGAGCUCAAAGUCCAACAAAAAUGCCACUACUUCCCAUGACAGGAACUUUUUUGGUAAACUGAGUUUGGAAUGCUUCUUGAAGGUAUGUGUGGAGCCUGGAAGGAGCUGAAUGGCUAUCAUCUCUCGUGUUAGCUAUAGCCUGCGAAAAGUGAUCAUUGUUUGAAUUACUGCAGCAUGGACAAGUUGUUUUUGUAACAGAUUGGAGCUCAAAGUCCAACAAAAUCGUCUCUGCUUCCCAUGACAGGAACUUGUAAGUUUCAAGCUUUGAUAUACUGAGCGAAAAAUUCUUUAUAGAAUCGGGGAUGAUGCACUAUAUGAGCAGCAACUACAACGAUGGAAUGCGGAUCAUCUCAAAACCAGUUUCAGUCCAAAAGGCCAUGCGGAUCAUCUCAAAACCAGUUUCAGUCCGAAAGAUGUGGAGUAAUUGAAUAUGAUGCAGCUUUUGGAAAGGUUAUCAUAGAACCGUGGACAAUACUUAUGCCCUCACCUGUAGAUCAUCUCAAAACCAGUUGGAGAUGUUACGUUUGUCCUCCAAAAGCUCAAUUGGUUCCUACAAUAGCUUUCCAGGUCUCUGUGUGUCAAAUGUAAAUGGAAUAUUGGGUGGUGGCUUACUAGCAGCUGGAUUAUAUUCGAAUUGUGUUGUUACAGAAUGAGGAGUGAUACACACUAUAUGAUGCAGCAACAACAACGAUGGUGAAUGAAAAUUUAAUAUCCUUUUUCUUAAUCUCGAUGUAAAGUUAUUGACAACCAGCUUGUGUAACGUUAUCAUAAAACCGUGGACAAACACACUUAUCCCCUGCCUCCCUGUGGAUCAUCCCAAAAACCAGCUGGAGAUGUUACAUGUCCUCCAAAAGGUGAAACCUUUUUCGUCUCCACAGACAGAAAUCGGGGAUGAUGCACUAUACGACGCUGCAACAACAACGAUGGAAUGAAAACUUAAUAUCCUUUUUCUCGAUCUCUGUAAGUGAUUCAUAUAUUUGUUCAUUCUCAACUUACAAUAAUCACUAAUUGUUUGAAUCGCUGCUGCAGUAUGUCCAAAUUCACGUGUAUAAGUGAAAAUACUAUAUAUUUUCUCAGUUCCAGAUUUUAUAUGCAACACGUUUUUUUUCCAACUCAAUUGGUUCAUACUAUAGCUUUCCAGGUCUCUGUGUGUCGAAAGUAGAUGGAAUUUUGGGUGGUGGUUUACUCGCUGCUGGAUUAUAUUUGAAUUGAAUUGUUACAUGAGGCUUCCUUCAACAUUGGCGAAUCUGUAGAGGAUGGAGAUAUUGAUUCAGGAUGCUAACGCAAAGGCGACAACAAAUAUCAGACUUCCACUGGAGACCUCUGAGAUUGAAAGAAGAAUAUGUUGAAGGUUUGGUGUAAUCCCCAACCGUCAUUGAAGAAUCAGUUUCUGAACAGCUAAUAGGCGCAUUGAGUCAAGCUGCCACAAAGUUGCAGCAGCUUCCUGCUCUUGUACUUUAGCCAGCGGUGUUAGAAAUCGCCUGAGCUUCAUCUUCCGUGGCCAAUGUUGAUGAGUGGAAGUGGAAGUUAGGCGUUCUGUUAGCGAACACGAAAUGGUUUCCAGAGACAAAAGGGAUCGAAGGGAUUUUGAGAAGAUUUUAAAUCUCGCCUAGAGAAUGGGACUGUACAGAAAAUUUUACUUAAAGAGGAGAAUGUGCAAUAUGCAGAAAAUUUUACUUAAAGAGCCUGUCAGGACAAAGAAAGACUUCUUUAAGCUAUUGCUCGGAACCAGGGUGAAGAUUUCUUAGUUAUAGUGUUAAAGGAGCGUCCAGAUCUAAGAUUGAUUCUCAUGACUGCCACUUUAAAUGCUGAACUUUUUUUUUCUAAUUAUUAUGGAGGGGCGCCUACCAGUCACAUUCCUGUUGAGGCAGUGUAUUGAGUGGUGGUGGGAGUGCUCAAAUUCCUGAGGCAACCGCUCAGAGUUGGGCUGAUAUGAUAAAUGAGUAUCAUAAGGGAGCUUUAGUGAGUCGUUUGGGGAUUCCUAUGAUACAUGGCAUUGAUGCCGUUCACGGGGCAUAACAAUGUCUAUAACGCUACUAUCUUCCCUCACAAUGUUGGUCUUGGAGCC